UACGUAGGCAGCGAGCGUUGUUCGGAGUUACUGGGCGUAAAGCGUGCGUAGGCGGUGCUCCAAGUCUGUUGUGAAAUCUCCCGGCUUAACCGGGAGGGUGCGGCGGAAACUGGGAUGCUGGAGUGCGGGAGAGGUAAGCGGAAUUCCCGGUGUAGCGGUGAAAUGUGUAGAGAUCGGGAGGAACACCGGUGGCGAAGGCGGGUCUCUGGGCAUCUCCUGACGCUGAGGCGCGAAAGCGUGGGGAGCAAACGGG
rnacentral:rRNA from 1 species